CAAAGGUUUGGUCCUAGCCUUGCUAUUAGUUAUUAGCAAAAUUAUACAUGCAAGUAUCUGCCCCCCGGUGAAAAUGCCCUUUAAACCACUUUUUGGUAUCAAGGAGCUGGUAUCAAGCACACUACACAGUAGCUCAUAACACCUUGCACAGCCACACCCCUACGGGAAACAGCAGUAACAAAAAUUAAGCAAUAAACGAAAGUUCGACUAAGUUAUGCUAAUUAGGGCUGGUCAACUUCGUGCCAGCCACCGCGGUCAUACGAACAGCCCAAAUUAAUAGAACCCGGCGUAAAGAGUGGUUAUGACAUUCAUAUACUAAAGUUAAAUUUAACCUUAGCUGUAAAAAGCUAAAGGUCUAAAAUUAAAUACUCUACGAAAGUGACUUUAACAAAUCAGAAUCCACGAUAGCUAAGAUACAAACUGGGAUUAGAUACCCCACUAUGCCUAGCCUUAAACCUAGUUAAUUAGUAACAAAAUUACUCGCCAGAGAACUACGAGCAAAAGCUUAAAACUCAAAGGACUUGGCGGUGCUUUAUAUCCACCUAGAGGAGCCUGUUGUAUAAUCGAUAAACCCCGCUAAACCCUACCAUCAUUUGCUAAUCCAGUCUAUAUACCGCCAUCUUCAGCAAACCCUUAUAAAGGAAUCAAAGUAAGCUUAAUUAUACUUAAUAAAAACGUUAGGUCAAGGUGUAACUUAUAUGAUGGAAACUAAUGGGCUACAUUCUCUUUAAAAGAGUACUACGAACACCCUUAUGAAAAGUAAAGGUUAAAGGAGGAUUUAGUAGUAAGCCAAGAAUAGAGAGCUUGACUGAAUUAGGCCAUGAAGCACGCACACACCGCCCGUCACCCUCCUCAAAUGUUAUCUGAACAUAAACAUAUUAAAAUUGAAAUAAACACAAGAGGAGACAAGUCGUAACAAGGUAAGCAUACUGGAAAGUGUGCUUGGAUUAUU
rnacentral:ncRNA from 1 species